ACAUACGACCACAGACUGAGGAGAAUUGGGCAUCCCGUCCGCUCUGCCAUACACAAGCCUCAGAUCGGCAGAUUAGUAGUUGGGUGGGUGACCACCAGCGAAUACCUGCUGUUGUAUGUU
rfam:Glarea lozoyensis 74030 unplaced genomic scaffold M7I_scaffold7, whole genome shotgun sequence.